rnacentral:rRNA from 1 species
AGAUUGAACGCUGGCGGCAUGCCUUACACAUGCAAGUCGAACGGUAGAGUAGCAAUACUCGAGAGUGGCGAACGGGUGAGUAAUAUAUCGGAACGUGCCCAGUCGUGGGGGAUAACGUAGAGAAAUUUACGCUAAUACCGCAUACGAUCUAAGGAUGAAAGCGGGGGACUCGCAAGAGCCUCGCGCGAUUGGAGCGGCUGAUAUCAGAUUAGGUUGUUGGUGAGGUAAAAAGCUCACCAAGCCGACGAUCUGUAGCUGGUUUGAGAGAACGACCAGCCACACUGGGACUGAGACACGGCCCAGACUCCUACGGGAGGCAGCAGUGGGGAAUUUUUGGACAAUGGGCGAAAGCCUGAUCCAGCAAUGCCGCGUGCAGGAAGAAGGCCUUGGUUGUAAACUGCUUUUGUAACGGAACGAAAGGUCUGCCCUAAUACGGCGGCCAUGACGGUACCGUAAGAAUAAGCACCGACUAACUACGU